AUACAGAGGGUGCAAGCGUUGUUCGGAAUUACUGGGCGUAAAGCGCGCGCAGGCGGGAUGGCAAGUCGGAUGUGAAAGCCCUCGGCUCAACCGAGGAAGUGCAUUCGAAACUGCCGUUCUUGAGUGUCGGAGAGGGUGGUGGAAUUCCCGGUGUAGAGGUGAAAUUCGUAGAUAUCGGGAGGAACACCAGUGGCGAAGGCGACCACCUGGACGAACACUGACGCUGAGGCGCGAAAGCGUGGGGAGCAAACAGGAUUAGAUACCCUGGUAGUCCACGCCGUAAACGAUGAGUGCUAGCUGUUGCGGGAGUUGACCCCUGCAGUGGCGAAGCCAACGCAUUAAGCACUCCGCCUGGGGAGUACGGCCGCAAGGCUAAA
rnacentral:rRNA from 1 species